rnacentral:rRNA from 1 species
UACGGGGGGGGCAAGCGUUGUUCGGAAUUACUGGGCGUAAAGGGCUCGUAGGUGGCCAACUAAGUCAGACGUGAAAUCCCUCAGCUUAACUGGGGAACUGCGUGUGAUACUGGAUGGCUUGGAUGUGGGAGAGGGAUGCGGAAUUCCAGGUGUAGCGGUGAAAUGCGUAGAUAUCUGGAGGAACACCGGUGGCGAAGGCGGCAUCCUGGACCAUUAUUGACGCUGAGGAGCGAAAGCCAGGGGAGCAAACGGG